AAGAGGUGAGUUCUGUAUAUUUGUGACGUCCCCUGAGAGACCAAUGGUGAGAGCAACCAGUGUCAUGAAUAGCCUGCCAUAGUUCGAGCCCAACUUAUGCCGAUCUUUACAUAGUCUUUGUGAAACACCCCCUGGAGAGCCAAAGCAAAAGCUCCUUCACAGCCUACAAACUUCCUACACAUUAUACGAGUCCUUGCUACAGUGUACCAAAGACAACCAUUCAGACAGACAGACGGGAAAGGAGUUUUGUAUAUAGAUCAUCAAGGAGACAAAGAGUGAUGUAGCAUGUUCUUUGGUUGGUUAUUUGUAUAUGUACAUUCUCUUUCAUCAACACAUAGCCCUUUAACUGAAUCCUAAUUAAAACAAUAUUAAUGUUAAACAGAGAGAUAUGAAUCAAUGAUCUCUUUAAUUAAUACUCAACUAACACCAUGUCCAUUUUCUUGAUGCAAACUUUACAUUAUUAACUACCAAUACUUGUAAUGGAAUAUUCUCCACAACUGCAGAAAAGACAUUAUAGAACUCAAUCUAUGCUGCAUAACAUACAUUUAAAAAUACACCUUAAGUACAGUUCAGUUUCUACCACCACUGAUUAUCAUAACAACAUAACCUUGUGUUUUAUAAAGUAGACAAAUUUAGAAUGAGAUGUUCAUUAUUCUUGACAUCAAAAUGGCAAAUGCUUUGACAUGUACAAUGCAAUGACGAAAGAAGUUACAAGCUUUUGAUUAAUAUGGAGUUGCAUUAUUCUUUUGAUACAAACAUAAGUAUGGUACAAAAUUAAGAACUUACUAAACUACCUACAAUCAUGAUACAUGGUUGUCAAUGGGUUAUAGAUUGAUAACAUGAUAUCUCUAAAAUGAGAUGAUUGACAUAAAUGGAAUAUGCCAGAAACUUUUUGGCACUUAAGUGAACUACACAUUGCUACAAAACAUACAAAAACUUAAAAGACAUUCAUGUAAUAACAUUGAGUAGGAUUUCAACUUUUAUUUUGUCAUAAUCAGUUUACAGCAGUUUACAAUCUUACGCUUACUACUGGCUUCUCGGCAUGUAUGUACAGCAACUAGAAAGCACCAGAUAAAUAUAUACAGAUCAUUUACA